rnacentral:sRNA from 1 species
UCGGUAUGUAAAGUUCUUUUAUUAAGGAAGAAAAAAGAGUGGAAAAACUCCCUUGACGGUACUUAAUGAAUAAGCCCCGGCUAAUUAUGUGCCAGCAGCCGCGGUAAUACAUAAGGGGCGAGCGUUAUCCGGAAUUAUUGGGCGUAAAGGGUGCGUAGGCGGUUUAAUAAGUCUAUAGUUUAAUUUCAGUGCUUAACGCUGUUGUGCUAUAGAAACUGUUUUACUAGAGUGAGAUAGAGGCAAGCGGAAUUCCAUGUGUAGCGGUAAAAUGCGUAAAUAUAUGGAGGAACACCAGAGGCGUAGGCGGCUUGCUGGGUCUUUACUGACGCUGAGGCACGAAAGCGUGGGGAGCAAACAGGAUUAGAUACCCUGGUAGUCCACGCCGUAAACGAUGAGUACUAAGUGUCGGGCAAAACCGGUACUGAAGUUAACACAUUAAGUACUCCGCCUGAGUAGUACGUACGCAAGUAUGAAACUUAAAGGAAUUGACGGGACUCCGCACAAGCGGUGGAUCAUGUUGUUUAAUUCGAAGAUACACGAAAAACCUUACCAGGUCUUGACAUUUUCUUGCGAAGUUAUAGAAAUAUAAUGGAGGUUAUCAGGAAAACAGGUGGUGCAUGGUUGUCGUCAGCUCGUGUCGUGAGAUGUUAGGUUAAGUCCUAAAACGAGCGCAACCCUUGUCGUUAAUUGCCAGCAUGUAAUGAUGGGGACUUUAACGAGACUGCCAAUGAAAAAUUGGAGGAAGGUGGGGAUUACGUCAAAUCAUCAUGCCCCUUAUYAUCUGGGCUACAAACGUGAUACAAUGGUUGAUACAAAGAGUAGCUGAAACGCGAGUUUUAGCCAAUCUCACAAAAUCAAUCUCAGUUCGGAUUGAAGUCUGCAACUCGACUUCAUGAAGUUGGAAUCGCUAGUAAUCGCGAAUCAGCAUGUCGCGGUGAAUACGUUCUCGGGGUUUGUACACACCGCCCGUCAAACCACGAAAGUUGGCAAUACCCCAAAGCGGUCGCCUAACUUCGUAAGAAGAAGGAUCCGUCUAAGGUAGGGUCGAUAAUUGGGGUUAAGUCGUAACAAGGUAUCCCUACCGGAAGGUGGGGAUGGAUCACCUCCUUUCUAAGGAAACAAUAAAAUUAUCAUCUUCAGUUUUGAAAGACUUAGAAAAUUAAUAAGUUUUUCUUUUUUAAGGCAUUAAGGGCCUAUAGCUCAGCUGGUUAGAGCACACGCCUGAUAAGCGUGAGGUCGGUGGUUCAAGUCCAUUUAGGCCCACCAGUUUAUUUUAAAAGUUAUAAGCGUUGUCUUAAAAAAAGUUCUUUGAAAAGUAGAUAAACA